AUACGGAGGGUGCAAGCGUUAUCCGGAUUCAUUGGGUUUAAAGGGUGCGAAGGCGGAAUGAUAAGUCAGUGGUGAAAUCCUACAGCUUAACUGUAGAACUGCCAUUGAUACUGUCAUGCUUGAGUACACUUGAAGUGGGCGGAAUGUAUCAUGUAGCGGUGAAAUGCAUAGAUAUGAUACAGAACUCCGAUAGCGAAGGAAGCUCACUAAAUUGUAACUGACGCUCAGGCACGAAAGCGUGGGGAGCAAACAGGAUUAGAAACCCCGGUAGUCC
rnacentral:rRNA from 1 species